AGCACGUUUGAAGGUUUGAUUUUAUUCCCGACCGGCAUUGUGCUUGGCUUGCUGAUGCCUGACAGGCAGCCUCGCGCUAGUAAAGUCAUGGACUUUUUUUGUGUUUUCUUGCUAAAUCUAUUUAGGGCAACAGGUUUCAGAUCACCGUACAACAAUAUUUCAGAAAAAAAAAGAUCACCGUACAAAAGGCCUUGGGCUCUAGUUUUUCUAUCGUUGCAAGAACAAUACAUAACAUGACUGGAAAAAAGAAGAGACCUUUCAGAAAAAGAGAGACGAAAGCAUAAACACACAGAGCCA
rnacentral:lncRNA from 1 species